UGGCGAACGGGUGAGUAACACGUGGGUGAUCUGCCCUGCACUUCGGGAUAAGCUUGGGAAACUGGGUCUAAUACCGGAUAGGAGCCAUCUUUAGUGUGGUGGUUGGAAAGUUUUUUCGGUGUAGGAUGAGCUCGCGGCCUAUCAGCUUGUUGGUGGGAUAAUGGCCUACCAAGGCGGCGACGGGUAGCCGGCCUGAGAGGGUGUACGGCCACAUUGGGACUGAGAUACGGCCCAG
rnacentral:rRNA from 1 species